AUUGAACGCUGGCGGCAGGCCUAACACAUGCAAGUCGAGCGGUAGAGAGGUGCUUGCACCUCUUGAGAGCGGCGGACGGGUGAGUAAUGCCUAGGAAUCUGCCUGGUAGUGGGGGAUAACGCUCGGAAACGGACGCUAAUACCGCAUACGUCCUACGGGAGAAAGCAGGGGACCUUCGGGCCUUGCGCUAUCAGAUGAGCCUAGGUCGGAUUAGCUAGUUGGUGAGGUAAUGGCUCACCAAGGCGACGAUCCGUAACUGGUCUGAGAGGAUGAUCAGUCACACUGGAACUGAGACACGGUCCAGACUCCUACGGGAGGCAGCAGUGGGGAAUAUUGGACAAUGGGCGAAAGCCUGAUUCAGCCAUGCCGCGUGUGUGAAGAAGGUCUUCGGAUUGUAAAGCACUUUAAGUUGGGAGGAAGGGCAGUAAGUUAAUACCUUGCUGUUUUGACGUUACCAACAGAAUAAGCACCGGCUAACUUCGUGCCAGCAGCCGCGGUAACAC
rnacentral:rRNA from 1 species